AUACUUACCUGGUGUCGGGCUUUCUGGUGAUCAGCGAGGCUGGGGCCCCGCGCGGAGGCCUUCCAUUGCACUUCGGUUGGCUGAAGUGCGCCACUAUCCCGAACUGGGACAGCUGGGACAUGUAAUUUUUGGUAGUGGGGCUUGGCGUACGCGCCAGCCCCUC